rnacentral:sRNA from 1 species
UGUCUUCAUCAGUGGCAGCUACUAAUCC